UGCUAUUUGUUAUCUACAAACCAUAAUAGUAAAUAUGUAAAAAAUGUACUUUUCUUUAUCUAAUUGAUAGUUUAGCAUGUGCAAGGAUAAGAUUGUGGAGCAAAGAACAGCUAAGUGUGUAAGAGAACUUGCAUCCGUAUGACUUUCCCUUUGUUUUUGCAGGAUCGUUUAUUUAUUUGGAGGCACAGCGCCCCCCCGGGGUGGCCAAGCUUGGAAGUCCUGUUCUUACAAAAUUGCUCACUCCCACUACCCCAUGUCAGGUGCAGUUUUGGUAUCAUUUGUCUCAACAUUCAAAUCUCUCAGUUUUUACAAGAACGUCUCUAGAUGGAAACUUGCAAAAGCAAGGCAAAAUAAUCAGAUUCUCCGAAUCUCAGUGGAGCCAUGCAAAAAUUGAUCUCAUUGCAGAAGCGGGAGAAUCUACUCUACCUUUUCAGUUAAUUUUGGAAGCUACUGUUUUGUCAUCAAAUGCUACCGUUGCUCUAGAUGACAUCAGUGUGUCCCAGGAAUGUGAAAUUUCCUAUAAAUCACUACCAAGGACCAGUACACAAAGCAAGUGUAAGUUUCUCCUUGUCGUUGUUGCUGUUUUAAACAUUGAAUUAAGCUCUUCUCAGUAUCAAAAUAUAAAAUGUAUUAGAGUCACGAAUACCUAAUACAGGGUGUGGAUUAUAUCACCUGUU